UGAUGUUGAGGAAGAAAUUUCUAAGAUUUUGAAAUAGGCACAGGAAAGGGGAUGUUUGAUGCAGAAAGAAAGAGUUGACCUCAGCUUAUUGAGCAAUACAUUUGUUUAGUAGCAGAACAUGAGCAAAAAAAAUAUAUUUUUUUGUUCUGACGAAGAUUGCACAAACUCAAACUCCGACUUCCCUAUUCACAGUGUGAGCUUUACCAUUUGAUCACACAUAACAUCAAACCAGAAACUAGUGAGCUUAUGUUGAACCACUGUCACCUCUGUAUGAAUACAGCCUUGAGCUCUUGUUAGCAGCACAUUAAAGAUUUGAUGGACCAUGGCGACCACGCUAUACACAUGUACCAACGAAGGUGACAGGCCACAGCACACAAACCCACAAUGCCGUACCUUCUGCUGCUGAACCUCCAGGAUAAAGAGGCAGAGGACAGACGGGGAAGUGAAACAGUUAGACUCAAGAAGAACCGUGAGGGUCAGUUAAAGGAACUUCACUGGAAGCAUCAAAUGAAGAAACAGGCUUACAGGAGAAGACGUUUGACAUGUUUCUCAUGUAGCAGGUCAUCAACAACUGAACAGUUUAAGUCAUUGUGACUGCUCUCAGUCAGCUUUACCAAGUCUUGUGCUAAGCAGCUGAGACCUGGCUGAGCCUAACCCCCUGAGUCAUGUGACUGCGAUGCAGAAAAGAUGAUAGGGGCACCCGGCUAAACCAGCCAUCAGAGAUGCAGCUGACAGACAAAGGUUGCAGAAAAAAACAAAAUACAUAUGGGUAUGUUGAAAGAUGUAAUGGUUCAUUGGACACUGUGAGCCAAAGAAUGUGGAAAAUCUUGUAUUACAAAACCAGUAAAAACCCUUACCUCUUCUGAAGGCAUGGGAAAAAGCGCAGUCACCACUCCUUCAUUUUUUACCUCUGUCUGACUGAUCAUCUACUCGAAUACACAAAUAUAUUCAAUUCAUAAUGACACAUAGAAUAGAAAAGUAAUAAAUCGUGACAUUUGAAAGGCUUUGUUUUUUAAUGUUAUUAUAGCUGGACAUGCUA